GCCCUGAGUACUUUAACCCAGCACCCUGGGCUAAGCCUCGGGUGGAUUUCUAGCAGACACUGACAUUUUCCACUGCUUUCCCAGGCAACUCCUCACAUAAGAGAUUUGGAUUUGUACAGAGAAGAAGAAAAACUAAAAGGAACUGGUAACAGACCGGGAAGGAUCUUUUAUUCUGUCUAGAAAAUCUACAUUCGAGACUUAAGAAGGGAAAGCAGCAGACACACUGCUUGGGCUUGUGUGCCAUCUGGCUUGACCCUGAUCCCUGACAACGGGAUGGCCACUGAGUGUGAAAAGUCAGACCGCUGUGAUCUACUUCAGCUUAAAAACUGCGCCUGAUUGAAGACAGCACAAGGAACAGUACAGGAGAGAGACCAAGCACACACGUGAACGUCACAUUCAUUUGUUCUGCAGUUCCAGAAACACGCUGAGAAGAAUGAAUCCCAGCAGUCCACGGUGUGAAGAAAAGAAAUGUGGAUAGUUGCUUGCGUGAGCUGGUGUCAUUCAGGAUGAACCAUAUGAGCAAGACAGCCCUUUGCGCACUAGAGCGUGAGAACAUACUACCAGUAAAAGAAAUCACACCCUGCUCCCCCAUGAAUACCUCUCUGCCACAAGGGAAACAUCAGACUGGUCCCACAGCAGUGGGAUGUGGCCGUGGGAUGCGUGCAGAGACCAAUGCAGGGCCUUCAGGUCUACCUAAGCUCUGUGACCACAGUGCUCUAUGGUGCAUUAAUCUGUUGCAAGAGAUUCCUACGAGACUUUUUAAAACUACAUCUAAAUGUAAAGAUUCCUUACGGAUGUGAGGCAGAGUGUAACAUUUACGUUCCAACGGAUGGCUGAGGAUGAGAAUAAAGAACUGGUAGCAAAGAGGGUUGUAUCUCGAUUUUUCCAUAGAGAUGUUUUCAGGCUCUGAGAACGUGCCCGUGCGUUUGUGCUGUCAAAAAAGAAAUAAGCAGUAUGAGCUUUUCCGGGAUCAGAAACAGAUUUAGUUGUAAAUAUCUGGCAUCAGAACACCAACCCAAAACAACAAGGAAGCCUGAGGCGUUCUGUAGCGGCUAGUUACGGCAACUGCCUUGAGGAGCCUUCUAUAGAUGGCUUUAAUGUAUUGCCCUCUACCGGAACUACCGAAGAUUGCAGGCUGACGCUCAGCGCGGAGAAAUCUCUCGGGCAGGAGAGCCGUGAGAUGGAUACAAACGCGUUGUUUCACCCUGCUCAGCAGAAUCGAAUGCUUCUGGGUUUGGAAUCCAAAGAGGGGCUCGGGUUUUGUUCUGGCUUGCUGAAGGGAUAUUCAUUUCUUUGGAGAAGAAUCCGUGUAGGCAGGAGAGAGAUCCAAAGUUAUCAGCUUGCCCAGAAAAUGGGUAUUGUAUCCUUCAACUUACAGGAAAAGAAAAAAAGAAAGCUUUCUGAGUUGCAGAGGCAGAUGGGUUCAGAGCUGAUGAGAGAAUUGUUGCGUGAAACGCUGAGGAAAAGUUCUCUUUGGGUCCUUUGCCUCGGAUCAUUAUUUUUUUAUUAUUAUUAUUACUAUGUUUGCGUUCAAAAAGAAUGCAAGGCUUUCCCUUACUGAAAGGUUUUUAUUAUUAUUAUUAAUAAUAAUCAUCCAGCAGCACUCAACUGAGACCAUUUUCCCCAUUAAAGGUUUAGGUCACUCAAUGCAUACUUUGUUACUGAGAUCUAAGGAAGAAAUGAAUCCCACGUAGGUGCAUUCUUAUAUUAAAACAAGGAAGAGAUUUAAAUGUUUGGCUCAUCCUGAAUCCACAGUAAAAUCUUCAGUGUUUCUCCCACCACAGGUGCCUAAAUCCUACUGCUAUUAUUCCACGAAGCUGUUAUUCCUAUUGUCACAGCUUUGGUUGUAUGACUUGAACUUUUAAACUAAAUUAUAAAAAUAAGUCAGAAAUGUACCGAAAUGAGACCUUUUAUUGAUGCAGUUCUAACAUGGAAAGCUUGACCCAAUGCUCUGUUUAAGGAAAGUUUUGCAUGAAGCUGUGGAAGUAUUUCAUUACUGUAUGGGUGAAUUCUCCGAUUUUACACAUUGGAAUAAUCCCUUAAAAGAAAACCUGCUUUCCAUACAAGGAAUUGGAGAAUGUGUGAAUUACUCGUGGCAGCAAGCUGAAGACCUGACUUGUUUUGUGUAAAAGAUGAAAGAUCAGGUCACCACUCUUGGCCCUGUAAAACGCACUGGUUGUAGUUUCAUUGCACCCAUUUAAUUCACAGGUUUUGUAUUCUUGUUCAGCCUUAGCAAGGUCAUCCGAGCCCCUGAAAGGAAAAGAAAAAAAUAUUGAAAGGACAGAUUUAAAGAACCAAGCUAAUAGAGUUUUGUAUUUGUUGGAUUUCUCAGAAGUAAACCAGUAGAACAUCUCUAAGUAAACAAACACGUUUAGGUGUUCUUCAUUCCAAAGGCUAUUUAGCAGUCCUAUAGUACUGUCUGCAGUUUGUUGUGGCAUCCUUGCUGGAACCAAGAAUUUAUGAGUGUCAUUCUGCUCUUCUUAGCUCAAAGUGUUGAACUCUGCUUUUCGUGACUUUGAAUGAACAGGGUAAAAGCUAGGAGGACUCACCUGUAUUUUUAAGGAAGCCGUACUGAUGUUGUUUUUACCUUAGCAUUUCAUAAAGCAUAUUUUGAUUGCUGAAGUAGCUGUGAUACCCGUGUCAAUAAAAGCGUGCUAGCACGCAGUAUCUCCUUAUGCAGCGUGUCAAAGUUGGAGAUGUGUUGUGAAAGUCCCUCAAAUAUCUCUGUCCAAGGAUGAUGUAAAAAGACGCGUUUACAGAAUUUACUCCAGUGAGUUGCUCAUAGAAACAGAGAGGGGUCCUGCAAAAUUCUGGUUUGAGGCCAAAAUGCAGAACUAUCCUAGAUGUGUCUCGUUACCUAGCGGGGCGUUUUCAUAGGUGUCUUGUAUUUAUUGCAUAGGCAUCUUGUAUCUAUUGCAUCCCCUCACGGAGUAGGGAAACGGAAGGAUCUGUUCUGUCUGUUUCUUGAGCAGGGAAUGAGACUUUGCUGGAGGUAAACUGACGUGUAAAGGAAUAGCGACCUUGGCAGCCCAACAGAUGACCUUACUUCAAUUUUAGGUCCUUAACUUUUCUUUUUCUUUUUGUGAAACAAAUGUGAAGUUAAUUGUUUUACAUUAGACGUUCCAUUUGACACUGGGUGAGACUGAGGAAAACAAAAGUAACUAUGUAGCAAAUAAAGUCUACAUACUUGAUGUAUGGCACACAACAACUGUCUUCCUUCUUUCUUUUUUUGACACUGUUGCCGUUAGAGUGAAACCCUGAAAACCUCGUGUUCACUGAAGAAGGUAUUUUCUGCUGGGGGCUGACAAAGCGAUAGAACAGUAUUCAGCCUAUUUAAUAAAAUACGACACUUUGUUUUUGUAAUUAGUCUUUAUUGUGAAAAAUGAUAUGUAGUGCAGUUCACCUUUCUUACACUGUGUCUUACAGUGAUACGUACGUAUAGAAUACAUCUAAAUUUGCCUUUAAAAAUAAGUAAAUAGGUAAAGAUCACAGACGUAAAAUGUCUUGAGUGAAGCACUCUGUAAUGUACCUAUGCAGAACUGGGGAAACCUCCGGUGAUUUCCAGCAUCAAAGGUCACCCUUUCUUCUGAUAGCUUAGCCACCUUUACAUUAAUUUCCUGCUUUAUGCAUUGUUAUACAUUUCUUGCUUUUAUGGUUAGAUACUAAGAAUGAAGUUCACAACAGACUGGUUUUUGUCAAAUGGGUGUUGUUGGUUUUUUUUUAGGGACUAACGAAGUUGUUUUUCAGAACCAUCCGCUGCCUUUGUUUUCAGAAAAGUAAAAAUGGCAGAAUUUAUCACGUGCCAAGGGAGAGCAUUUGCUCAGCUGUGCUCUUAAGUUGUGUAAUACUAAAUAAGCAGUAAAGUACAUGACUGUGACCAGGAAGAAAACCAAAGCAAAAGAUCUUCACAAUGCUUCUUUGGACACCGAACGCUGCUAAGAAGAGAAAAUGUGAAAAACAAAAGAAUGAUGUGUUAAGAUGCCGAAGAGAACAGACGUUCAGUCUACGAUAGUUAGUGUAUGUUUUAGUAUGCUGCCAGGUGGAUAAGAUGAAAUUGUGCAUUUGUCAGCAUUAUCGCUCUUGGGUUUUGAUUGCUCCAGCAAUUUUAAGUGGCUGCAUUAAAAGGGAUGCAGAAAUUUCACAAGAGUUUGCACCAUCUAAUAGAGGUUGUCUAGCCACAUCUCGAGGGAAAACAUGCUUGAAAAUAACCUUUCUUCCUUGAAAUCCUACGUACUCUGUCCCACAGCUCCUGCUGUAUCUGAGCUUAACUCCAAAUUCCUUGAAUUCAGUAAUAAACUUUCCAUACAGUUGAAAGGUAUUUGGCUGAUAAUCUGUUUCCAGGAUCUAAUUCUUAUCAG
ensembl:lncRNA